rnacentral:miRNA from 1 species
GAGGCGGAAGGAUUGCUUGAGACUGGGAGGUUGAGGCUGUAGUGAGCAUGAGCACACCACUGCACUCCAGCCUGAGUGACAGAGCAAGACUGUCUCA